GACGUGGUCCUCGUUUUCUCCAGCCAAAAAACCAGCCACCAGUGACCACGUCAUAUAGUAUAGAUUUCCUCAGUUCACAAUUUAUGAUCACUGAUUGGGUAUAUUUUUUUGCUUUGGUAAGAUUAGUAAUCCUACCUACUUUUUCUGCUUCUUUGCUGGGGAAUUCCCCAAGUUUAAGAUAUUGACUUUAUGUCCAGCUUGGAAACUGAGAGACCUCCGCAACAACCCAUAGAUGACGAAACAGAUUUAGAAGGGGAUGACAUUGUACAGAAGUGUACCAAUUUUCCUUCAAUUUACGUACCUUCUGUUUUCGAAAUUAUCAGCAAAGAGAACAUGAAAGAAACAACGUCUUUUUCUUCACAAAUUGCUCUAAAUCGCACGCCAUCUCCUUCAACUCUGUGCUCGACUUCACCAGAGAUUUUCAAAACCAUUCAAAACUGGUGGUGGUCCACCACCUGCUACUAAUCCACCAACUGGUGAUGAGAUAGCAGUGUGACUCACUCAUGAGUUUACUGUAGACUCAAAUGAGUUUGAUUCGGAUAACCAGGUACAUCAAAGAUACACGGGUCGAUCAACUGUCCUUUAUAUUUACAAUUUGUAAGGAUUUUAAAAAACAGUAAGUAAAAACAAGGCGAAUUUCUUUUACAUUUUCUUUCCACUUUAUUAGAAUGUUACUAAUCAUAUUCUGAUGUUCAUUGAUAUGUUUAGGAUGACUAUGGCUAUCUUUGUUUUUAUUUUAGAACUUUCAAAGGCCGUAACUUAGUGGACAAAAGUUUUGAAAAAAAUCUGGGGACACAGUUUAAUAUUUUUUUAAUGGUAAAAUUAAAUAUUAAAAAACUGAAAAACAUGUAAAUGGGUUUAGAGAGUAUUAUAGAUUGUGAUAAAAAAUGGAAAUCAAUGCGUUUCCAUGCAAUAUUUUUAAAUUGAUGCGUCAAUGAAUAACUGAACUAGUCAUGAGAACAGCAAUUACUUGUAUGGGACCAAGAUCUUGUCAAUUAAGUUCCCGUUAAAAUAAUUAAAAAUAAUUGAAUGAUUAUAAUGAAGUUCCGUUUAAUAGCAAUGCUGUGUAUUCUAAAAACUGUUUAUGAUAUGAAGUUUGGAAAACGAUUAGUAUGGUGAGUCACACAUAAUAUAUAUAUAUAUAUAUAUAUAUAUAUAUUAAGUGUAGGGACAAUGUUUUUACAAAGAAUAGUUGAUUGACCCACACAUACUUCAAUAAGUAUUCCAUCUGCAGUAAAGAAACAUGUAUAUAACUACAUUAAUUCUUGUUUCAGCUAUUAAGUGACAAUAAAAUAGGAAAACCAGAACCACCAAUUCUAGUACUUAAAUCACCACUUCUCUGUGAGAAUCCUGAACCAGAAAUAGAAAUGGUAUGUUUAUUAUACAGUUAUUAAUAACUUGUAGUAGCCAAAUGCUGUUACUAUUUAUAUAUGUUAUUAUACACUGUAAUGUAAUGCAUAAUAAAUAAUUUUAAUUCAUUAUUUUAGAUGUCGCAACCAGGCACAUCAAUAAAGACCUAACACAACACACCAACAAGUAACUUAUUGAUAAAUAUGAAACAUGUUUAUACUUCAUUUGCAUCAUAUUGCAUGUACUUAGCAAUUAGCUAAAUAAUUAAAAAAAAAAAAAAAAAAACAAAAACUUCUAAACAACCGGACACACUACAGAUCACCACCAACCACACCAACAAAGAAAAAAGUGAAGUCCGAAUUAUAAAUUAAGAAAUAAACAGGGAAGACAAAGCCUCGAGGGGUAUUACUGUUCCUGUAUACACGGCCGUCGCACUGUUGGGAGUUGCGCGCACAUCGCCAGUGUGGUAUACUUUUUAUCUUGGGCAUCAAGACGAAUUUCACGCACCUGCGGCGUUUUUAGAUGAAACUAUUUUAGAUUUGGAUGCAGC
rnacentral:misc_RNA from 1 species